GACUAUACCACGUUGAAACACCGGUUCUCGUAUGAAGUUAAGCAACAUCGCGCCUGAUCAGUACUUAGAUAGGUGACCACUUGGUAAUACCAGGUGCUGUAA